UACGUAGGUGGCAAGCGUUGUCCGGAAUUAUUGGGCGUAAAGCGCGCGCAGGCGGUCCUUUAAGUCUGAUGUGAAAGCCCACGGCUCAACCGUGGAGGGUCAUUGGAAACUGGGGGACUUGAGUGCAGGAGAGAAGAGUGGAAUUCCACGUGUAGCGGUGAAAUGCGUAGAGAUGUGGAGGAACACCAGUGGCGAAGGCGACUACCUGGCCUGUUCUUGACGCUGAGGCGCGAAAGCUAGGGGAGCAAACGGG
rnacentral:rRNA from 1 species